rnacentral:rRNA from 1 species
UACGUAGGGUGCAGGCGUUAAUCGGAAUUACUGGGCGUAAAGCGUGCGCAGGCGGUUUCUUAAGUCAGAUGUGAAAGCCCGGAGCUCAACUCCGGAAUUGCCAUUGAAACUGUGGAACUUGAGGAUGAGAGAGGUGAGUGGAAUUCCCAGUGUAGAGGUGAAAUUCGUAGAUAUUGGGAAGAACACCGGUGGCGAAGGCGGCUCACUGGCUCAUUUCUGACGCUCAGGCGCGACAGCGUGGGGAUCAAACAGG